rnacentral:rRNA from 1 species
UACGAGAGGCCCAAACGUUAUUCGGAUUUACUGGGCUUAAAGAGUUCGUAGGCGGUCUAGAAAGUUGGGUGUGAAAGCCCUCGGCUCAACCGAGGAACUGCGCUCAAAACUACUAGACUUGAGGGAGAUAGAGGUGAGCGGAACUGAUGGUGGAGCGGUGAAAUGCGUUGAUAUCAUCAGGAACACCGGAGGCGAAGGCGGCUCACUGGGUCUCUACUGACGCUGAGGAACGAAAGCUAGGGGAGCAAACGGG